AGGAUCUCUUCUGGAAAUUGCCUCUACUGGUGUUUUGUAGUGAGUGCAGCAUAAGGAUCUGACUGCCCUGAGAGAAGCAAGCCUCCUGCAGCAGAUUCAGGUCAACCAGUAGAGGUUGUGAGUGUUCUCAGUGUGUGCAGAAAACAGUGUACGCGUGUAUACACCAUAUGCAACUCAGACACAAACAGAGUGCUGCACAGCACAACAGCCUCAUUCUGCUGCCUUCUCUGGCAGCACCUUCACUCAGUCAGGACAAAAACAACCAACAGUGGGAGCUUAUGACAGAAACACUUAACAGAAAAAGUGCUAAAAUCUCCUUAGCUGUAUCCAUGCAAGAUCCUGCACUCUAUUGCAAACUGCCAAGGUUGUUGUUUCAGCUAACAUUGGUGGAAGGUCUGAAUUGAAGUACUGUGAGGCAGACAGCUGCUCAUCAUUUGUCCUCUUGCAAAGAAGAUGCAAGAAAUGUGGUAUGCACUGAGGAAAUAUGAGAAUGUAAGAAUUUGAAUAAAAAAGAAUGCACAGAAAUGUUGGCAGUAUAGUUUGCCCGUGGUGGACUUGACCUUGCUUCCCUUCACCAGCAUCCAGAUUGGUUGUAGACUUGGUUCAGUCUCAUUUUCUCCAUGUAAAGUGAGAACAGAGUCUGUGCUGUUUUUAAAACUAAGCAAUAUCAUAAAAAUUCUCAUUAAAUUUAUUCUGUUGUGCAAUUCCUGCAGCUGCAUGUCAGUAUGAACAGUAUGACACUUCAAGAUGAGUAUGACAGCUGUCUUUUUCUUUCUUUAAUCCAGUCACAUUUUUUGUCAUCUUGCUAGUUCCCCAUACACAUAAAAUUAUUUGUAUUUGUUGAGAAGAUUUGAAGUUCUGUUAACUCCCUUGGUGUGUUUAGGCUGUCUUAUAUAUCUUUACAAAAGGAGAUGGUCAUCUAUUGCACAGAUGCAUUAGGCCUUCUCUUCCUGUAUAGACUACUUUUCAAUAGCUGGUUAUCCACGGGAUUAUUUUAACUCCAUUCAGGUGACCUUAAAAGUUAAUGACAAAAACACUCAUCAAAGAAAAUAAGUGUCUCAUCCUCAUGGCAUUGCAGAGCAUCUUGUCACAGUGAGAGACUAUUCAGUCACCUUUAAUUUAAGAAUUACAUUGUGCAGUUCCUUCUGCUGAAUUUAGCAGUUACUCCUAUUUGUGUUUACUCCACUGCUCUGAACGUAUCAUGAGAAAACCUGUACCUCUCUCCCUGUAAGACAUUUUUUUUUUCUAGCCCUUGCUGUCACUCACUGUGAGGAUUACUUUUAUGCUGCAUACACAAAUAAGCUCAAACUCUGUUGUGAGCCUAACAGUGAUGCCAAAGAACUCGGACUGCUCACUGCCAUCCUCCUGAGGCUUAGGUGUCCAGGGUUAAAUAAACUCAGUUUAUAGUUUACCCCACUGCAGGCAAUUUAGGGACACCAUUCUCUGAUCUGUGUUUUCUUUGUAUCUUUGGAUCUUGUGGUGGAGCUACACUGUCAUAAAUACAGUAGUGGUGGAGCAAAGACUACUUUCCCCCAUGCCUCUCAUGCUACUAAUAUCUCCCUAUAGAACAUGAGGUCUCAAGUUUUAUGAAAAUAUUCUGCAUCAUACAACAGAUUCAAAGCUAAAAUAAUAAAAUAAACUAAAAUACAUAUUGUACCAAAUUUCAGCUGCUGAUUUACUGUUUUUCACUUUGUUUCUUUCCGUGAAGUUGUGGGAAUUUGGUUGCUUGUUUUUAAACAAACUGGACUGUCCUUUGGCAUCUUGUAUGCAAGUAAAAGCCUGUGAAUGAUGUUGAAAAAAAUGGCAGAUAAUUUACAAAACACGAGGAAAAUCUGCAGCAGAGUCAAGAAUAAAGCUUAUAGUAUAUUCAAGCCCUAAUAAUAAGAUUAAGUAUCUUUAAUCUUAGGUAACCAUCAGAACUAUGAUUUCUAGUGUUCUGUCCUUAAUGGUGAGUGAAUCCUUGUUCUUCAUUACUCAGAAGGUAUUCAAGCAUCGAGAUAUCAAGGAUAUCAAGUAUCUGAUAGCUGAUACAUGGUCUACAAAGAUAAAUGGUAAUGAAAUUGGCCAAGCUGGGUUACUUAAAGUAAAUGACCUAGAACUAUGGGACUAAACCUCAUCAAUAUAAUUCAGUCUCCUGUUACCUAGCAUCCAUACAAAGCAAAAUGACCAGGAGAUGUCCUGUGGUGUUUCUUAACAGUGAGAGCUGUUAGAGACUUUUUAAAAUCUAAUUGGUUCAAAUCUUCCCUUACGCUGUUGACUAAGUUAAACUGCUCUUUUUAAAAUUAGGGCUCUGAAUUACUUUUUUGAGGUUAAGAGCUUGUAAUUAUAUGAAUUUCACACAUGCAACCCCAAUUCUCUCUCUUACAGUACUGCAAAAAAGGAGUGAACUGAAAACAAAAUAGCACCAAUUCUAUCAACUUUAUACUUACACAGGUGAUUAUGACUCCACAAAUAUCCUGUUAAAAUAAAGUAAGACCUAAGACAGAAUUAAUUGAAUAAAUUAAACCCGUACAUCUGUAAAGGGAUGAUGGAGAGAGAUGGGGAGUAUUUCUCCCCAUUUCAGGACUGAUCACAGUAGAGGGUUGUUAACAGAAACUUUGAGUUGGGAAAGGAAAUGCUAAAUUCCCUGAAUUGUUAUAUUCUUCCUGUAUUAUGAAAUUUGUGAAACUUUACAGAGUCCUUCUACGUCGAGCCAAUUCUUCUACAUCUUGAGCCAGUUGAAGAUCAUUUGGUUUAGAAUGCAGAAUUUCAUUCAAGUUUGUUCAGAACUUGGUUUAGAAGUUUGGAGGAUAUGACCACUAUGUAAAACAAGGACAAAAAAGAAUUCAUUUCAAUCUUGGCUCAUUAAUUGGCUCUAAUCCUUUAUGUACAAGCCCAGGAUGCUUUUAAUACAGUAAUGUCUAAUUCAUCAGCUAUCCUGAACAAAAGCAAAUGAAUAGAAGUGAAUCUCAUUAUGCAAAAAUCUUGAAGGUGAAAGAAGAAAGCAUUCCAAAAAUAUUCUCCAUAUGUAGCACUGUGACACCUGAUGAGAGCUUGGUAUCAGGGGUAAAAGUGAGAUAUGCAGAUAAUUGCAGCUUUCUGUAAUAACUGUUUAAUUCAGCAGAUUGCCAUUACACUGCUUUGCAGUUCCACCUUUUCUAACCACCAAAUAAAGUUUUGUUCUUAGGGAAGAAUUAGUUGUAAUCUUUAAUUAUUUUUUUUUUUUCUCAUUAAAAACAUGG